AUCCCUAAAUCCCUCCAGCUCCUUCAUCCCUUCGGCUUCUCUUCAGUCCUCUGUAGCUCCAGCUCCAGCAUGGCCUUUCAAAUCCAAUCGUCCGCAUCAGUCGGUGGCAACCUCUGCUCCGCCUUGGCCCCCCAGAUCCUCCCCUACACCCUGGCUCAUCGGCUCUCCAUCUCCACCCUGGGGCUCCUCCACCACCUGCCCCACUGCCAUGGCUCCUCCCUCUGUUAGCACCACAGUGGGACACCAUCAUGGCUUUGUCCUGGGUCCAGCUGGACUCCUCCUGCUCCAAGUCCUUCCUGUUUCCUCCCUGGUUCCUCCCUCCAUCUGAUCUGCACUGGCACCUCCUGUUUCACCUUGUAUAAAGCCACUGGCUUAAGGGUUAGAGAAGAAAAAACAACCUGGCUUAGACAGACUUGCAGAACUGAUUUGAUAGUUUUUCUGCAGUGCUCAAGGACACAGGAAGUCAAGAGGGUAGAGUUGUGUACAACAGCAGUUUUGAAUACUGCAGCCAAAGUACUUUAUUAGUCAUGCUCAGCUUGAUGCAGGAAACUAAUGUCACAGUUCGCAGGUCAAGACGCACAAAAAUUCAAUACUAUAAAUGCACAAUAGCGCACACACACCGAUUUACAAAAAUAAAACAAAAACGGCUGUCAUUCAAGGCCAGAUGACCCAAAUGAACACUAAUAAAGAUAUAGAAAAACAACAAUAAACAUGUUUCUCUCUCCUUGUA